ACUCCUACGGGAGGCAGCAGUGGGGAAUAUUGGACAAUGGGCGCAAGCCUGAUCCAGCCAUGCCGCGUGAGUGAUGAAGGCCUUAGGGUUGUAAAGCUCUUUUAGCAGGGACGAUAAUGACGGUACCUGCAGAAAAAGCCCCGGCCAACUUCGUGCCAGCAGCCGCGGUAAU
rnacentral:rRNA from 1 species